UACAGAGGUCUCAAGCGUUGUUCGGAUUCACUGGGCGUAAAGGGUGCGUAGGUGGCGAGGUAAGUCGGAUGUGAAAGCUCGGAGCUCAACUCCGAAAUGGCAUUGGAAACUACCUUGCUCGAGGGUUGGAGGGGGGACUGGAAUUCUCGGUGUAGCAGUGAAAUGCGUAGAUAUCGAGAGGAACACCAGUGGCGAAGGCGAGUCCCUGGACAACUCCUGACACUGAGGCACGAAAGCUAGGGGAGCAAACAGG
rnacentral:rRNA from 1 species